rnacentral:rRNA from 1 species
UACGUAGGGGGCCAGCGUUGCUCGGAAUUACUGGGCGUAAAGGGUUCGUAGGCGGUGUGGCAAGUCGGUAGUGAAAUCUCCAGGCUUAACUUGGAGUCUGCUGCCGAAACUGCCGUGCUAGAGUGCGGGAGAGGCGAGUGGAAUUACAGGUGUAGCGGUGAAAUGCGUAGAUAUCUGUAGGAACACCCGUGGCGAAGGCGGCUCGCUGGACCGCAACUGACGCUGAGGAACGAAAGCUAGGGGAGCAAACAGG